AAACUGCGAUAAGUAAUGUGAAUUGCAGAAUUCAGUGAAUCAUCGAAUCUUUGAACGCACAUUGCGCCCCUUGGUAUUCCAUGGGGCAUGCCUGUUCGAGCGUCAUUUGUACCCUCAAGCUCUGCUUGGUGUUGGGUGUUUGUCCCGUCUCCGCGCGUGGACUCGCCCCAAAGUGAUUGGCAGCCGGCGUACUGGUCCCGGAGCGCAGCACAUGUCGCGCAAACGAGUGCCUUGGUACGGCGGCGUCCAUAAGCCCCUCUCUCACGCUCUUGACCUCGGAUCAGGUAGGGAUACCCGCUGAACUUAAGC
rnacentral:misc_RNA from 1 species